GAAAUGCGAUAAGUAAUGUGAAUUGCAGAAUUCAGUGAAUCAUCGAAUCUUUGAACGCACAUUGCGCCCCCUGGUAUUCCGGGGGGCAUGCCUGUUCGAGCGUCAUUUCACCACUCAAGCCUCGCUUGGUAUUGGGCAACGCGGUCCGUCGCGUGCCUCAAAUCGACCGGCUGGGUCUUCUGUCCCCUAAGCGUUGUGGAAACUAUUCGCUAAAGGGUGUUCGGGAGGCUACGCCGUAAAACAACCCCAUUUCUAAGGUUGACCUCGGAUCAGGUAGGGAUACCCGCUGAACUUAAGC
rnacentral:misc_RNA from 1 species